rnacentral:rRNA from 1 species
GACGAACGCUGGCGGCGUGCUUAACACAUGCAAGUCGUACGGUAAGGCCCUUUCGGGGGUACACGAGUGGCGAACGGGUGAGUAACACGUGAGUAACCUGCCCACAACUUUGGGAUAACGCUAGGAAACUGGUGCUAAUACUGGAUAUGUGCUCCUGCUGCAUGGUGGGGGUUGGAAAGCUCCGGCGGUUGUGGAUGGACUCGCGGCCUAUCAGCUUGUUGGUGGGGUAGUGGCCUACCAAGGCGGCGACGGGUAGCCGGCCUGAGAGGGUGACCGGCCACAUUGGGACUGAGAUACGGCCCAGACUCCUACGGGAGGCAGCAGUGGGGAAUAUUGCACAAUGGGCGCAAGCCUGAUGCAGCAACGCCGCGUGCGGGAUGACGGCCUUCGGGUUGUAAACCGCUUUCAGCAGGGACGAAGCUUUUUGUGACGGUACCUGCAAAAGAAGCACCGGCUAACUACGUG